UACGUAGGGCGCAAGCGUUGUCCGGAAUUAUUGGGCGUAAAGAGCUCGUAGGCGGCUUGUCACGUCGGGUGUGAAAGCCCGGGGCUUAACCCUGGGCUUGCAGUGGAUACGGGCAGACUAGAGGCAGGUAGGGGAGAAUGGAAUUCCCGGUGUAGCGGUGAAAUGCGCAGAUAGCAGGAGGAACACCAAUGGCGAAGGCAGCUCGCUGGGACGGUACUGACGCUGAGACGCGAAAGCGUGGGGAGCGAACAGG
rnacentral:rRNA from 1 species